AAUGACAUACAUUAAUUCCAUAUAUUUCAUAUCAAACUUGCAACCCUAAAUAUUUUUAAUUUGACUGAUCAUGUCUUUAUUACUUUCAAUUGAGCAUUUGAUCAACAUACAAAUAAUGCAAAUGUAUCUGUGAAGAGUAAUUUUGAUGUAUAUGAACGUAGCACACUCAUAAAGUUGAACUGUUUGACAUCAUAAGAUGAACAUGGCCAAAACAUCCAUGCCAUUAUUUUAGAAUUUAUUUUAGUUUGUAUAAUGACUUAACAAGUCUGUAGACUUUUCUUGUUAUGGGACAACAAACCUUUUAGAUUUUUUCAUAUAAAUCUCCACUGCUCAAUUACCAUAUAGAAAGGAAGUUUUAAAAUCUAUUUGAUUGACUUUUAGAUCUUGUAGUGCUACCCAUCAACAUUAUGAUUACAUUUAUUUUUGUUACCGGAGAGUAGGUUUGAUAUCACUUAAAUUAUCCUAAAAAGUGAUUUUACUCUCUCAAAUAAAAAGUUCAAUUGUAGUACUUAGGGAUCGAAUUCACGUAGACUCUAGGAUUACACAAUAAAUUUGUAGUUUUCAAAUUAAAACUAGAUGGUUAUGAUUAAAGCAGUAAAUAAAACUAAGGGUUUGGUGAACAAGAUAAUUGUUCAGGUGAUUGGUUUGAAAAUCAACUUACACCCUAAGGCUUUUAAUAUCAUGUACGAUUUUUUGAUAAUAUAGUUUGUUUUGCUAUUACCGCUUCUAUCGACGAAUGUGCGCCUGGUGUAAAUAUUGCCCCAAUGAAAUUUCUUGAUUCAUUUUUAAGAAGAAAAAAUACCAAGAAAUUGUCACCAUAACUCAUUUUAUAUAACUAGAUUCAUGUUUAUAUAAUUUUAUAUCAUCAAAUGAUGUGCCGUAAGUAUUUUUCUCUUUCGUUUGAGGUGACUGCAUCUAUUUCUUCACGAGUUCAUUUUGGAUUUAUCUUCUUUUUUUUUCUGAAAAUGUGACCACAAAGAUGCAUUUCUUGUUUCAUGAUUUAUUAAUAUGGAUAUACAAAAUCACAAACCAAUAAGAACCACUAUUGUAUAUAUAUCCACUAGUAAAAAUCUUCCGCAUAGCCACGGUAGUACCAGUGUAAAAUUGUGGUUUAUUUGAAAAAAUCAUUGUUUAGCCACGGUUAGCCACAAUUUUUUUAAAAGCCACGAUUAUUCUUUUAUAGCCACGAUUCAGUCACUAAAUAAUCAUGGUUAUUUUAGUAGCCACGAUUUAGCUACGAAAUAACAGUGGCUAAUCGUUAGCCACGACUCAGCCACUUUAUUUUUGUGGCUAUUUAGUUUUUCUAUACCCUAAACCCUAAACUUCAAAAUUAAAUUAUAUAUCCUAUAUACUAAAACCAAAAUACAAAUAUAACAUCUUUUCAAACUUUAAAUAUAAAUGUUAAAUUUAAAUUCUAAAUAUAAAUUUCUUUAAAAUCCAUUAUAAAUCUUAAACCUAAACCCUUAACUUAAACUUUACAUACAAAAACCAUAAAUCUAAUGUUUUCAAACCACAAACCUUAUAUCAUACAUUAAAUCACAAAUAUUUAAAUCUAAUUAAACCCAAAAUUUAUAUAUUUCAAACUCUAAAAACAUUUAUACUUUCAAUUAUUUAAUCUUAACAUUUACAUUUAAUCCUUAAUAAGUAUACUCAAAUCCUAUUUCUCAAACUAUAAACUCUAUAUUGUAAACAUAUAUCAUUAAACCAUGAAGCAUUAUAUCUUAAAUUCAAAAUAUUGAAAUUUAAAUUGAAAAUCUUAUCAAUUUUCUUUAGGUUAUGCACUAUAAUCAUAAGCUAACAACUAAAUAAUAAAAAGAAAAGAAAUACUGAAAUCUAAUGCUAAUUCCUAAACUAACUUCUCAUUGGUCAAAAGAAGAAAGGAACGGAUUACCCCCUGUUAGAUCACAACCAUUCAUAAAGAUCCAUCGAACGGCCACAACUACACACGCUUUUUAUUUUUAUUUUUAAUUUAUUUUCUUCUUCCUUCUCUUCUCUCGUCUCUGAUUUUUUUCUAGAUCUAAGUUUCGUUUUCACACAGAUCUCUCUACCGCUCACACAUCUCUCCAUCUCUGCUCACAGAAGAAACAUCAAUGCCUCUACUCACAUAUCUAUGUUUGUCUCUUAUCAGUUGUGUAUGUAUUUGAUUUUGUUUUGAUAGAUGACAGAGACGGAGGUGGACUGCGACGGUAACGAAGAUGGAGAGACAUAGAUGGCUGAGGAAGAAGACGCGACGGCAGGAAGAAGCGGAGAUUUUUAAACUAGGAAGAAGAAGAAGGAGAAAAGACAAAGGAAGAAGAAGAAAAGCCAAGAUGAAGCUUCGCUGGCUCCUUCCAGAGCCAAUAUUGAAGAAGAUGAAGGUGGUGCGGUGGUGCGUGUAUCACCGGCGACACGGGGGUGGGCUAUCACCGGAGGAAUGUUGCGCGUGGUUCAUGGCCUGGUGCGCGUGGUGCUGUGCGAGGAUAUACAUAUAUAAUAAACAUGUAAUUUAUAAGAUUUUAUAUUUUAUUAAUAAAUUAUUUUAUUUUUUA